UUUAUUUUCUUUUCUCUUUUUUAUUUUUUUUCUUCUCUCUGUCUUUUAGUUCCUUUUCACUUCAUCUCAAAACAGAAAGAGAGAAAUCGAGUGAGAGACCAAGAUACAAAACCUCUCUUCAGAGUAUAUCAAAGCUAGAUUCAUACCUAAAUCGAUCGAAAAUCUCCUUGUUAGAUCUAUACCUUUAAGCCUAUUAGAACUCAGGUCUAUUCUUCUUCUUCUUCCAAACCUAAAUCCACCAGAAAUCGUCUUAAGCAUAUUAUUACCAGAAAUUAGUACCCGUUUUUACAUUGUUUGAGUAACCUAAUCUCAGAAGAAGUUUGAGGGACAAAAAUCCAAGAAGAUUCAGAUUUGAGUCUUAAGGAAAUUUUUGAGACUGAAAUCUGGUGUUUUUGCUUUGGUUGUCCAUGGAAGGUGAUAUGUGUAUUGGUUGAUUGCUUCAAUGUGCUGCGAAGAAGCGAGCCCCCUCAUUCAUACCUCUGCAGUUUUUGUCAAGCAAGAUUUGAAACGUUCUUUCUGCGCAUGUCUUGGUCUCUCUUGUCCUAACAUUUUAAUGACAUAAUUACCAUAUUAUUUUUCCUUCUUUUUUCUUGACAAUCAAAUAGUUUUUAUGUGCUUUUGCUGGUUCACACGAUUGGCUAUUUGGUGUCUCUUGAAUGCAAUAAAUCAGCCAUAUAGAGAUUGCCAAAUGCAUUUCUUUCUGCAUUCGAUAAUAUAUCAUGGAUUCCAGUCACCAACAUACUUCUGCAAUUAUAAAAAAGUUCAGGAUUUGUGUUGUCAAUGUGCAGGUCACAUAUCGAAGUUACAUUGAUCUGUAGAUUUUGUUGCUGGUGCAAGUUCUUUUGAUCAACGUAAAUGCUUGAAAAUUGGUGGUGAUUACACAAGUUGUGCAAGCUCAUCUCCUUAUCACCCUCCUCCUGCUCCACCUGUUUGGGGCACCAAGGGUAUCUUUCAAUUUUUGUUAUUCUAAAGGUACAUGGCUCUACCUCUUCCAUAUAUGGAGGACCCUCCGCGCCUCCACUAGCGACAAUUGCACCCAUCCCUCUACCACCAACUGGUGGUUAUGCACCUGUCCAGGUGAUGCUAUAAUUCAAUUAAACUCACCUCCAUCGAUCAAGGGACGUUGGUUGUUUUGUUUUAUCUAUAUUACUGGUAUGUUUUCAAACCACAGAUCAAUUAGAUUUUCAAAAGCUAUUGUUUCUCUUUCGCCGAACUAUAAUUUCCAGUAGCAUUAAAACUCCAUUAGGAAGUGGUAGUAUCAAUUUUUGGCCUCUCACUUGCUACGAAAAGUUUCUGUUUUCUUACCUCAAAGUAGAAUCUCGAACUUGUCAUUUGCUUUUGAUGAAUUGUGCCAGUUUUCUUUGUUCAAAACUUCAAAUUGAUUGCAUAUUUACGUAAAGUGCAUGGUGCAGUUCAUAAUCUCAGUAGCAUGGCAGCUUAAGUAGUAAAUGAAUGGCCAAUCAUCUAAUAAUCUCAAAGUUACAUGGUUAAUAGAAAAUUUUAAUGUCUCAUUAAAAAUUAUCACCAAUGAAACCACAUGUAUGAAUAAUUUAGUCAUUUAGACAAAGGAAAUUGAAAAAUUAGAAAUCCCCUGUGUUUUUUACCCUAUUUUCCCCUGUUUCUAUGAGUUGAACCUUGAGGUAUAUUAUUAGGUUUGACCAUUUGCUCCACUAGCUAUAGGCGUACGUCUUAUGCAUAUCUUUGAUACUGGCUUUUGGGUAUGUCUUCAAGCAAGGGUUUAUACUGCCAAGAUUGUUUCUGUUGUUUGACAUCUUCAUGAGAGGGGAAUCAUGCACCGACAUCGCAAACCUGAAAAUAUACUUACGGACAGUGAAGCUCAUGCUCAGAUAGAUUAUACCAUGUUUUUUGGACUCCAUUGUUUUUUCAUGUAUGAAAGCUCGUUGCUUGUACUAUUUGUGAGAUAACAAGGAACUCAAAUGUAUCAUCCUGGAUUUCCCAUUCUGCCAAGGCUCCAAACUAGACGAUUACCAAGUCUUUGGCUUUUAAGUUUUUUGUUACUGAUUAUGUUCAAAUAUUCUAUCCCUGAUAAGUCAGUUUAGUCAUUUUCAACAUCUUAUCUUGUAUCUCAGCUUUAGUUUUUAUUAUUUUCCUUGGAUACUAAAUGUUGUUAGUGUUAAUAUUAAAAUUACGAUUUGUAUUGGGGUGCAAAAAAUUAUAAUAUGAAAUAAUUUUGAUUUUGGG